CCUCAAAUGGUUCCUCUUCUUUGAACCCUAGUUUAUCGCGUGCCGUCACCUUCAAACACCUCACCUCACUUCGCCCUCACGCUCAUAGCUCAACGCAUGGCACAUCGUCGAUCUGCCUUUCUCCGCCGAUCUUGUGUCGUUUCUCAACCCUUCUCAGUCGUUCUCCGCUGAUUUGUGACUCAUGCUCUCUGGUUGCUUGUCAAUAUUAUGUAUGUUAGAGAUUCAAGUGAAUGAUUUUAGGGAAGUAAACUCUUUCAGUUUUAUUACUUAUUUGUUGAUGUUUGAUUUUCAUGCCUUAUUGUUAGCACUUAGAUGACUCUUUUUGUUCUAUUCUCUAGGUUUGCAAAUUUAACUCUCUGGCAUUAUUUUUAUUUUUUGUUAUUAUCUAAUUCAUAUAUAUAUUUUAAAGUUAACUCUCUAGGUUUUCUGGUUUCAUUUCUCCAAAAAGAACUGCUGAUAAAAUUUUAUUAGCAGUAGAAUGUAGAAACCACUCUAUUUUUGUUUUUCAUCAAAGUAUACAUGCAAGAGAAAUCACAUAUUGUUGGCAUGUUAGUGUCGAAAGAGAUCCCCAAUUGAAGGAAGUGAGAAAAUCAUGGCAAUGAACUUUUUAUACAUAUUCAGUAUUGUGUGUAUUAUAUAACAUAUUACUAAAAUCUGUUAUGAUUUGUAUUUGCAGAGGUACGUACAUGGCUGACAUAGGAAAGGUAUGGCCUGUGCUGAUUUGUAUCAAGUUAUUAUUGACAUCUAUACGCUCUAAGAUAUACUAGUAUUUGAAUGACCAAAAGCAGCUCAUUGAUUCGUUGACCUCUUUGCAAGAUUGUUCACUUCCAUUGAAAUACUAUCUUAGAGGUUGCUUUAUUGUGCUUCAGCACUCCAUGUUUUGCCAUGCACGCCCCCCUCAUUCUUUUCAAUUGUUCCUCAAAUGAAGUGGAUUGAUCUCUUGGAAGAGAAAAUUUCAUCAAAUGGAACAUCUGGAACAUAUGAGCCAAUUGACACAAUGAAGACAGUCAAAGAAGAUGAUGAAAGUUGCACAUCAUUGCCACUAUUUGAGCACUUGUACCAAAAUGUCUUGCUUUAUGCUUGAUUAGUAUAAUUGAAUC